rnacentral:rRNA from 1 species
UCGCAUCUGUGCAUGCAGCAUAUCAAUAAGCGAGGAAAAGAAACUAACAAGGAUUCCCCUAGUAACGGCGAGUGAAGCGGGAAGAGCUCAAAUUUGAAAUCUUAAAGGGUUUCCCUUUACGAAUUGUAGUUUAAAGAAGUGUUUUCUGUCGAGGUUUUGGUAAAAGUUCUUUGGAAUAGGACAUCAUAGAGGGUGAGAAUCCCGUAUUUGACCUUUACUUUCAACUUUGUGAUACACUUUCAAAGAGUCGGAUUGUUUGGGAAUGCAGUCCAAAAUGGGUGGUAAAUUUCAUCUAAAGCUAAAUAUUGGCGAGAGACCGAUAGCGAACAAGUACCGUGAGGGAAAGAUGAAAAGAACUUUGAAAAGAGAGUUAAACAGUACGUGAAAUUGUCAAAAGGGAAGCGUUUGACACCAGUGUUGUUUUUCUGAAAAUCAAUUAAAGAACUGUUUAUGCUAAGUUGUUUAGACUUUAUCAGCUAACUGUUUAGUUUUGAGCUUUUCUUUAAUGCACUUUUCAGUUAACAAGUCAACAUCAAUUUCUUUUGCUGUAAAAAAGCUUGAGGAAGGUGGCUUGAGAUUCGUCUUAAGUGUUUAUAGCCUCUUGCCUAUGCAGUCGGAGAGAUUGAGGUCUGCAGCGUAGAUCCUUCGGGGCUAAAUGCAUUUGUGCUAAGUUAUAACAUUUUAUAGACAACUUGUUGACUAUGAUUUGUCUUGUAGCUUACUCGCUUAUGUAAUUUUACCUACGCUUAGGAUGUUGACAGCAGUAUAGACUGU